UGCUGGGAGUGGGGCGUGGUGGCGCUGCGAGAUGAAACCCCCGGUGUUGCUCUCUCUUCAGAAUUCAAUCAACUUCCUGUAGAUGAACUUUCCAGCAAAAGCUGUUCCUACCCAGUUUGCAAGGCCCAGUCAGCUUGUACUCUCAGAGGGCCAGCACUCCACUCUGAUGGAAAUCUGCCUGUGAUGCCAGCCUGGGGAGUGCCCUUCACACGUGAUCUCAUCUAAGCCUGGCUUGACAGUAAGAAGAGGAGGAAGAGGAGGAAGCUUAGGAAUCCUCUCUGAAGGGGACAUGGUUCUUGGAGGCCUGAUUUGUAUUGGGGAGAAUCCUGAAACCAAUCACUGAGGGAGCACUACCCUUUAUGAUGGGGAUGGAAAAGCCACAGCAACCCUAUGGCCUCUAGUUUUGGAGAGGGACUCAGCUAAAGACCAAAGGAAGCACCAGAAAGAAGAACUGAAGAGUUUAAUUUGGUUAAACAUAAAUAAAAAUAAAAACAUCUCUAGAAUAUAGAAACUAUCUCUAGAAGUCCGGGUGUUGUGGCUCACACCUGUAAUCCCAGCAUUUUGGGAGGCUAAGGCAGGUGGAUGACCUGAGCUCAGGAAUUUGAGACCAGCCUGGGCAAUAUGGCAAAACUUCGUCUCUGCCAAAAAUACAAAAAAUUAGCCGGGUGUGGUGGUAUGCACCUGUUGUCACAGCUACUCGAGAGGCUGAAGUGGGAGAACUGCUUGAGCCUGGGAGGCAGAGGUUGUAGUGAGCCAAGAUUGCACCACUGCACUCCAACCUGGGUGAAAAAAAUAAAAGAAAAACUAUCUCUAGGGGUGGAGCUCUGGGGAAUGUUUUCUCUGUUCAAAUGUUCUACCAAGCAGAUGUAUUACAGUGGAUGUGAUUGCCUUUAAUUUGCUUGAUUUGCUGGACAUCGUUCAAAGGUCAUCCCCAGGUAUCAGUGGAUGGAUAGGAAGGAGAGUGUGUGCACUGAGGGUGUGGCUGUGGGCCCUGCAGGGGAGGCACCACAGGGAGGGGCUGGCACUCCUAUGGGCUCAGACGCUCAGGUGAGUUGCCCAUUACAUAAGGUGCAUUGCUAGGGCAUUAGCUCAGCCAGGAAGGAACCACUCUGGACUUGUG
rnacentral:lncRNA from 10 species